GCUGCCUCUCGCUGCCUCCUCCCCGAUCGAAGAGACGCCUAGGGUUCGACCUCUCCUCGCUUCUCUCCUGCAUGUCUCUCUCUCUCUCUCUCUCGCAGUCGUCGCCGCCAGCCAUCCUCCCCUUCGCCCCGUCAUCUCCCACUCGCUCCACCCCUCUCGCAGUCGUCACCGCCAGCCAUCUCGUAGGAUGGAGACGCUGGCCGCCUCCAUCUCCUCUCUGUCGCCGUCUGGCCCAGAUGCGGCCGCAGUCUGCCGGCGCCGCAGGCGGAGGAGACGCGCCUAGGAGGAGCCUUCGGCAGCGGCGGCCGCCGCGCCCUCCUCCUCCUUCCACCUCCUGGCCGGCGCCCAACCACCGCGCCCUCUCCCUCCCCCUACCGCCGGCCUCUCCCUAGGUGGCGGCCAGAUCUGCCACGGCCACAGCCACGGCGAGGGCUUCUGGAUCCGCGCCGCCGUCGAGCUGGACGCGACCAUCAACCUCGGACCACACCGCCGCUGCCAUGGAUGCAUCAUAUCAAGGUCGCAAUGGCUGACAAAGAGCUUCAGGUUCAUGGUUCACCAGGUUCUGCUGGCUCCACUAACAGUUGCCUGCAAGCACUUGCAUAGUUAUUCCCCCUCUCCUACAAAUGUGAUCAAUUUGGCAUGGGUAUGCGUACAGUUGGAAUGAGGCGCCAUGGGAAGGAUUCAAAUCUUUGAGAAGUGUGCUAAAUCAAUAGUGCCAAUCGGUUCAGUUUCAGCUUCAAAAACAUUGGGUGAUUGAAAAUGGCAUGCUAUAUUUCUGCGACAAGGCUCCCUAAAUAUUCCCUAUGUUCUAAACUGGAUUCUGACAAGGGUGUACACCCUGCUAUUUGGUCAGAAGUCUGGGAGUUCAUACUUGGUUGUUUGAUCUCGAGAACACCUUUGAUGACCAUGGGCAAAUUGGGCGAACCAGAAGGUUGCCGGCAUCAUGGAGCUUGAUAAGGUUUCUGGCCGGUUCGCCACAUAACUUGCAGUCCAGGUCGUUGACAUAUUCGGGUUCUAGGUCACAGAAACAAAGUUUAGAGUUAUUUUAUGUGGCUCAAAAUGUUUUGUCUCAGCAAUUUCCUGCAUUAGAUAUCUUUUUGUGUUUAGUUUUUUUUUGUGUGAAUUCUACAAUUUGUAGCAUUGAGCUAAACUGACAUUCGUUUUAGUUAACUUACAUUCCUGGAUGUUUUUAAACUGAUAUUAUUUCCAUAAUUUCAGGUUUGUACUUGGCUUUAUCAGAAUUAGAAUAUGCAGAACAUGUGUUGGAGAAGUGCUCAUUUGGUUUUAUGAAAUAAUAUUCAGUCAGUUUAAAGUUAUUUUCAUGUUGAUUGCAUUUUGUUAUAGGAACGCGCAAAGAAACUAAUGUUUGAUCAUGUCGUUGACCGAUUCUGUUAUGAUAAUUCUUUGACAAAGUGGUCACAUUCCACAUGAAGAACCCGUAGUACUAUGUUUUACCAUCUCUAUCGCCACUGUGUUUGGCUUUUGCUUUCUUUUUA